UACGUAGGGUGCGAGCGUUAAUCGGAAUUACUGGGCGUAAAGCGUGCGCAGGCGGUUUCGUAAGACAGAUGUGAAAUCCCCGGGCUUAACCUGGGAACUGCGUUUGUGACUGCGAGACUCGAGUGUGGCAGAGGGGGGUGGAAUUCCACGUGUAGCAGUGAAAUGCGUAGAUAUCAGGAGGAACACCGAUGGCGAAGGCAGGUCUCUGGGCUGACACUGACGCUCAUGCACGAAAGCGUGGGGAGCAAACAGG
rnacentral:rRNA from 1 species